AGUCAAGAGCCAGAAGCAAGGGAUUCUGUGACUGUUGUGAUGUUGUGAAGUAUAACCUCAGAUGAUGCAGAAGUAAUAUCUCACUGAGAAGCAAGAGGCAGCUUUGCUCUGCACCUGGGCUGGAGCUGCUCCUCCCCUCAGCAGGGAGCAGGACAGGAGGGUGCUGCUGCACGUGUGGAACAAGUGGCAAUCUGCAGUGCUGA